rnacentral:lncRNA from 1 species
GGGGUUUUUUGAUAUGCUGAAUCUAAAAAUGUACUUAGAUUUUUGAUUAUUGGCCCAGUUUUCAAGUUGGUCCAAAUCGGGUCCAAAUUAAAUUUUGUUUGAUUUCAUCAAAAAUUGAAUAAUUGGGGUUCUUUGAUAUGCCAAAUCUUACUGUGUAUGCAGAUUCUUAAUUUUUAGUCCCGUUUUCAAAUUGGUCUACAUUAAAGUCCAAAGGGUCCAAAAUUAAACUAAGUUUGAUUUUAACAAAAAUUGAAUUCUUGAGCUUUUUUGAUAUGCUGAAACUAAACAUGUACUUAGAUUUUUGAUUAUGGGCCCAGGUUUCAAGUUGGUUCAAAUCAGGAUCCAAAAUUAUUAUAUUAAGUAUUGUGCAAUAGCAAGAAAUUUUCAAUUGCACAGUAUUCAGCAAUAGCAAGAAAUCUUCAAUUGCACAGUAUUGUGCAAUAGCAAGAAAUUUUCAAUUGCACAGUAUUGCACAAUAGCAAGAAAUCUUAAUUGCACAGUAUUGUGCAAUAGCAAAUAUUUUCAAUUGCACAGUAUUGCGCAAUAGCAAGAAUUCAUUCUGUGUCAGAAACCUAUGCUGUGUCAACUAUUUAAUCACAAUCCAAAUUUAGAGCUGAAUCCAGCUUGAAUGUUGUGUCCAUACUUGCCCCAACCGUUCAGGGUUCAACCUCUGCGUCAUAUAAAGCUGCGCCCUACGGAGCAUCUGGUUUUAUAGUCUAUAGAACAAUAAUGUCAUCAGUGCCUUCCAUACUUAAUCAUAUCAAUCAUGUAAUUAUUGCAUUUGUUUAAUUAAUAUCCAUAUGCAUACUAAAUAUAAAGUGAAAUCCAACAUCCAUAUUAAUCCCAGGCUACAAAAUGAUUCAAAUAUUUCAGUUUAUACUAAUUAAAAACAGUAUUUUCAAAUAAUCAUACAUCUUUAAAUUGAAUAACAUAAGGUUUAUACACACGUUUUUUGUAACAAGCUGUUUAAGCUUUGCAAAACUAUCUUAGAUAUACUGAAGAUAUCUUGUAGUCUUUGAGUUUCUAACUCAUUAAAGAAUGUAGAAUGGAUAAAGAUUCAGGUAGAUUCUCUAAAAAGGAAAAGAUAAAAGGAUGAGACUCCUUGAAUCUUCUAGUCACUGGAAUUCCUGCUGUUUUUAUUUCGAUAAAUUAUAUACACAUUAUUUUAUUUAGGGUUGUUAAUUGAGUGUUACUUUAGGUUACUAAUUUAAAUCUUGAAGAUUUUUUUAUGAUUUUACAGUGCUCCUUUGGUUUAUUGCCUGCUCCAAACAGCCAAACUCCUAUAUCCCCACAAAAUUGCUCAGUCCUGUUUUUUCUUAUAUUAAAAUUCCAUUGUUUAAAAAAAAACAUAUUAACAUAUUGCCAAUAAUUGGAUGAUGUUAUAAACUAAUGGGACAUAAACAGUGAAGUUUUCCUCUCUUUCAAACCAAAUCACUUGGUGCUUUACAGUUGAUAACUUUUUACUGUUUUUAAAACAAUGAAUAUUAAUACUUGGGCAUCAAAAUGUCUACAUCAGAAAUAAAAAUCCAUUAUUAGUAAACAGAUUAAUGACAAUUGGUACGAUAACUGAUUAUGUUGCCGACAAAAUAACUUUUGGCAUAGUUCAGUCAAGUGCAUGCAUGGAUAAAACUUGUUUGCACAAAAGAAGUAUAUUUUUCUAAUUUUCGUUAGAAAAGUAUUUCAAGAUGUAUUGUCUGUUAGAAAAAAAGUGAGUGUAGUACAAAUCAUGCAGUUGUCUUAAUACAUGUACAAAUAUACAUUUAAUCCUUGCAGUUCAGUAGUGUUUGUUUUAUCAACUUACCACUCAUUCAUAGAUCUUUUUUUAUAUAAAAAUAAAUUCUAGAUAUAUACCACCACCCUUACAUAUUGGCAGUAUUCUAAGAAAUGUAAAUCAACACUAUAUGCUGUAAACAAUUUUCAGUGGCGGAUCCAGAAAUUUUCAUAAGUGGGGGCCCACUGACUGACCUAAGAGGGGGCCCACUCCAGUCACGCUUCAGUGAUUCCCUAUAUAAGCAACCAAAUUUUUUCCCAAAAAGGGGGGGCCCGGGCCCCCUGGGCCCCCCCUCUAAAUCCGCCUUUGAUUUUGGUUUGGAAAUAAUGCUAAACUUUAUAAAAUCAAGUACAAGACCAAAGAUUGUAUGCCUUUAUUAUUUAUGCAUACUUAUUAUGUGCUGAAUAAUUUUUUUUGAAUAAUUAUUAAUAUGUGUCUUUUUCUGUUUCAUUUAUUUGAAUUUCUACUGAUACAUAUCCAAAACACUAUGAAAGCCCAAUAAUUGUUUUAUUUGGUUUUUUUUCAUAAAUAUUAAUUUGUUACUGUUUUUUACCAAAGCAAGUCAGGAGCAUGUUGUUGGCGUUGUCAGUUUGUUUUAGAUUUAUGAGUUUGACUGUCCCUUUGGUAUCUUUCAUCCCUCUUUUAUUCAAUGAUCAUGUUUGUUGGUUUCUGUAUAUAUGUUAUUUCUUUAUGUUUUUAGCAUAAAUCAGGUUGUUGUUUUUCUUUUGAAUUAUUCAAACAAUUCACAGAUAUAACUUUAAUACAACAUUAGAAUUGACAACAGAUAGCACCUUUUCACUUAAAAUUUUUGACAUUCCAGAGUUAAUGUAUUUUGAUCCUUAGAUUCGAUUCAAGUUUUCAAAAAUUGUGCUGCACUAGCUCUAGUGGAACUGACUCCAACAAAACUUUACAUUGUUGUUGGUAUUAAUGAGGAAACUCACAUUGACUUUAGUAUUGUUAGGGUUGAUUUCCUCCAAAUUUUACAUUAUUUUGAUUGAUUUAUUGGAAGUUGUACAAAAAUGUUAGAAAAAGUAAACAUGAUUAAAUGAUUUUCAAUUAUCCCAUUUUAUUCUUGCAACAAAUUUCAAUAUGCACAAUAAGUGCCCCCUAACCCCCUCUUACAUUCUGUAUACGCCUGUCCCAAGUCUUGAGCCUGUAAUUCAGUGGUUGUUGUUUAUUGCUGUAUGUCCUAUUUGUUGUUUGUUUAUUGUUUUGUACAUAAGACAUAAUUACUACAAAUAGUAAUAUAAAGGCUGCUGCUAACCAAAACCAAAAUCUUAGUGGCUAUGAAGCUAUAGUUAGACUUUCUGAUUCAAAUCAAUUCAUGUUGUUUAAUGCAAGAUUUCAAAAACAUGCACUUUUUGUCAUUUUGAGUAACACAACAAUGUACAGCACUGAAUAAUAUUUUGAUUUAAUUGGUAUUGUAAACUUUUGCAAAGGUUAAUAAAGGUACCAGGAUUAAUAAAAUCUUUAAAGGAAGUAUUUUGACUAAGGUUCGUAAAAUAUUUUGAUAUCAGUUCCUGCACAAGUCUGAUUACAUUUGGCAUAUAUACCGUAUACAGUUCUUUUGCCUCAUGGUGAGAAUUCUUAGAUCUGUGCUUUAUGUCUUUUGUGUCUCUAUAAGUUAUUGUUGUGCUUUUUGUUGAUCGGAUGAGUUUAGUCCUUUUGAACUUAUUUUUAUAAUUUGUUCUUAUGUUGUCCUGUUACACCACUGUCCCAGGUUAAGGAUAGACUUGGCAACCUGCAACUGUGGUUAACAAUGUCGAGCAUUGUUGUUUGUUGCAGUAUAUUAUAUUUGUUUUUUGUUUGUUUAUUGUAUAUUGAGUAGUUUCCCUUUUAAAUAGUUUUAAUUUGUCAUCUCAGGCCUUUAAUGGCUUGCUGUGCAGACUGGCCAUUUGUUAAAGGCUUUACGGUUAAGUAUUAUUGCUGAACUUCCACAUCAUUUGGUCGUUGGUGCAGUGUUGACUCAUUGGCAAUAAUACCUCAUCUUAUUAUUACAUGUAGUAAAAUUUGAUGGUUUUGAUUUUUAUCAAUUUUCAGAUCAAUUAAAACUAUAGCAGAAUAUAUUUACAUAUUUAACCCAUUCUUUUAGUAAACAGACAAUAUUAAGUUUUGACUAAUACUAGCAUGCCUUUUGUAAAGUGUGAAUCUGUGGGCAAUAUCAUCCAUUUGGAAUUGCAUGUCUUAUGAUGAAUUGAAUGAAGAAGCUUUUCCUAUGAAUGCACAUAUCUGUUUUUAUAUGGAGUUCAUGGAAUUUGACUGUUUGUACUUCUAUGCCUGUAUAUUUGUACCUUUUCUUAUUUAUUUGAACUAAUCCCCAUUUAAAUGAUUACGAAAAGUAUGAAUUGCUUGCAACAAAACAAAAACCAAAGACAUGAGAAUCAAUACAUUGUAAUAACUCUUUUUAUAUGACCGCAAAAAUUGAAAAUUUUUUGUUCGUAUAUUGGUAUCACGUUGGCGUCGUCUGUGUCGUCGUCAUCGUUGUCCGAAUACUUUUAGUUUUCGCACUCUAACUUUAGUAAAAGUGAAUAGAAAUCUAUGAAAUUUUAACACAAGGUGUAUGACCACAAAAGGAAGGUUGGGAUUGAUUUUGGGAGUUG